GACGAACCGUGCGAACGUUGUUCGGAAUCACUGGGCUUAAAGGGCUCGUAGGCGGCCAACUAAGUCCGACGUGAAAUCCCAAAGCUUAACUUUGGAACUGCGUCGGAUACUGGAUGGCUUGAAUUCGGGAGAGGGAUGCAGAAUUCCAGGUGUAGCGGUGAAAUGCGUAGAUAUCUGGAGGAAUACCGGUGGCGAAGGCGGCAUCCUGGACCGACAUUGACGCUGAGGAGCGAAAGCUAGGGGAGCAAACGGG
rnacentral:rRNA from 1 species